ACUUGUUUGUAAGCCCCUAGUCUUCCACGUUUGAUAAGGCCCAAUUCAUUCCCUUCACCUAAUCAUGAAAUAUUCCCUUCAUUUCCCUUUUGGUUCGAUUUGGUUGAUCUAACCAACCAUGAUUUAUGUUUUCUUAUUUUCUCUCCCACCAUGAAUUCAACCCCACCCUCUUUCUCGUCUGUAGCCACCUCGUCCCCUCCCCCACGAUCACCCAUCAAAACUCUGCUAUGCUUCCUCCUUCAUUAUAUGGUCAUUUUGGGGACUUGACUGACCACCACCACCACCUGACUUUGUCCUCCUCCGCCGCCAACGGCAACAUCGACCGCGUCCUCUUCCAAGAGCUCAUCGAGAUCAUCCCUCUUGUCCAGUCCCUCAUCGAUCCGGAAGCCAGCAGUUCAUUUACGCGGCGCGGUUCGGUCACCUACAGCAAGACACCUUCGAGAGGCUCCUUAUCCAACAAACAAAAUUAAAACGAAGAUGUUGGAAGAAAAGGCCGAACCAAUAAAGCAUGUCAUUAUCAAAGCUUACAAUAGAGUACAGGAUCAAAAAUAGAAGAAAUAUAUCUAAAUGCUAUCUUCUGUAUGAGUAAGCAUUGACCGAGAAGAAGGUGUGCAACACGUUAAAAAAAGGGCUGGGCAUUGGUCGAAAGAUUAUCAGAAGAUGGAAGCUUCAAAAUUGGCCAUGUGGUUUUCUUUGUGACUCACCUCCAAAAUCAGUGAAGAACCUCUGUAAAAAGAACAAUAUAGUUAGUAGCAAAAACAAAUAAAGACGUGCUAGCAGCUGUGAAAAAGGUCUUCAUAGAUAUAGUUGGUACCUUCAAAUGGUUGUGUUUGCAGUGAGAAGGAGGAUGAACGUAAUUACUUAAAUUUGGGCAUAAAUAAAUGAAUUGUGGCAACUGGUAUGUAGUUAAUUGUGGAUAUUUGUAAUCCAUUUGUACUUGCAGUUGGAACUGCAACUUGCAGUUGAGACUUGGACGUGGUCAUAAAUCAAGGAACGUGUAUAUGCUCUUUCUGUUUUA